UUAUUUAGUGACUGAAACGCAAGUAAUGGUCUCUUAAACCAAUUUAUAGUACCCGCAAAUACUCUAAAUA
rnacentral:tRNA from 1 species